CAAGCCCUGGAAACGGGGUCUAAUACCGGAUGGGACUACCGGCCGCAUGGUCUGGUGGUGGAAAGCUUCGGCGGUGCAGGAUGAGCCCGCGGCCUAUCAGCUUGUUGGUGGGGUGAUGGCCUACCAAGGCGACGACGGGUAGCCGGCCUGAGAGGGCGACCGGCCACACUGGGACUGAGACACGGCCCAGACUCCUACGGGAGGCAGCAGUGGGGAAUAUUGCACAAUGGGCGGAAGCCUGAUGCAGCAACGCCGCGUGAGGGAUGACGGCCUUCGGGUUGUAAACCUCUUUCAGCAGGGAAGAAGCCUUUAAAGUGACGGUACCUGCAGAAGAAGCACCGACUAACUACGUGCCAGCAGCCGCGGUAAUACGUAGGGUGCGAGCGUUGUCCGGAAUUAUUGGGCGUAAAGAGCUCGUAGGCGGCCUGUCGCGUCGGAUGUGAAAGCCCGGGGCUUAACCCCGGGUCUGCAUUCGAUACGGGCAGGCUGGAGUUCGGUAGGGGAGAUCGGAAUUCCUGGUG
rnacentral:rRNA from 1 species